GAUGAACGCUGGCGGCGUGCCUAAUACAUGCAAGUCGAGCGAACGGACGAGAAGCUUGUUUCUCUGAUGUUAGCGGCGGACGGGUGAGUAACACGUGGAUAAUCUACCUAUAAGACUGGGAUAACUUUGGGAAACCGUAGCUAAUACCGGAUAAUAUUUUGAACCGCAUGGUUCAAAAGUGAAAGACGGUCUUGCUGUCACUUAUAGAUGGAUCCGCGCUGCAUUAGCUAGUUGGUAAGGUAACGGCUUACCAAAGCAACGAUGCAUAGCCGACCUGAGAGGGUGGUCGGCCACACGGGAACUGAGACACGGUCUGGACUCCUGCGGGAGGCAACAGUAGGGAAUCAUCCGCAAUGGGCGAGAGGCUGACGGAGCAACGCCGCGUGAGUGAUGAAGGACUUCGGAUCGUAAGACUCUGUUAUUAGGGAAAAACAUAUGUGUAAGUAACUGUGCACAUCUUGACGGUACCUAAUCAGAAAGCCACGGCUAACUACGUG
rnacentral:rRNA from 1 species